rnacentral:rRNA from 1 species
GAUGAACGCUGGCGGCGUGCCUAAUACAUGCAAGUCGAGCGAACAGACGAGGAGCUUGCUCCUCUGACGUUAGCGGCGGACGGGUGAGUAACACGUGGAUAACCUACCUAUAAGACUGGGAUAACUUCGGGAAACCGGAGCUAAUACCGGAUAAUAUAUUGAACCGCAUGGUUCAAUAGUGAAAGACGGUUUUGCUGUCACUUAUAGAUGGAUCCGCGCCGCAUUAGCUAGUUGGUAAGGUAACGGCUUACCAAGGCAACGAUGCGUAGCCGACCUGAGAGGGUGAUCGGCCACACUGGAACUGAGACACGGUCCAGACUCCUACGGGAGGCAGCAGUAGGGAAUCUUCCGCAAAGGGCGAAAGCCUGACGGAGCAACGCCGCGUGAGUGACGAAGGUCUUCGGAUCGUAAAACUCUGUUAUUAGGGAAGAACAAAUGUGUAAGUAACUAUGCACGUCUUGACGGUACCUAAUCAGAAAGCCACGGCUAACUACGUG